AUGGUUCUUGCUUGGCUUCACCGUUCAAUUUCAGAAUCCAUUGCCAAAUCCGUGUUAUGGAUCGAUAGUGCUGCUGGUGUAUGGAAGAAUUUACAAACUCGUUUUUCUCACAGAGAUUUGUUUCGCAUUUCUGAUAUUCAGGAAAAUCAUAGAGUGCUGGUAAUUUACCUGAUGGAUCUUACAUUGCUGCAUCUAUGUCUGGUAGUUUCAUCGUCUCAACAUCUUUAA